AAAAUACCACAAAAACACAAAAAAAC
rnacentral:sRNA from 1 species